GGACAAGUCAAGUCCUACAAAAUGGCAACCGUUGGUGGACGGUUACACACCUACAAAUAACCUA
ncrna:[Clostridium] clostridioforme 90A6 GP20-b RNA